rnacentral:rRNA from 1 species
UACGUAGGGUGCGAGCGUUGUCCGGAAUUAUUGGGCGUAAAGAGCUCGUAGGCGGCUUGUCGCGUCGGAUGUGAAAGCCCGGGGCUUAACUCCGGGUCUGCAUUCGAUACGGGCAGGCUAGAGUUCGGUAGGGGAGAUCGGAAUUCCUGGUGUAGCGGUGAAAUGCGCAGAUAUCAGGAGGAACACCGAUGGCGAAGGCAGUUCUCUGGGCCGUAACUGACGCUGAGGAGCGAAAGCGUGGGGAGCGAACAGG